UGUCAGAGGUUAAGGAGAUUCUGAUGAAGAAAUAAAAGAAUAUGGCCUUGAGGGUGGGCCAAAUGGGUGAAGGUGGUCACAGGGUACAAAUCUGCAGCUAUAAGAUGAGUAAAGUCUGAGGAUCUAAUGUACAGCAGGGUGACUACAGUCAACAAUACUGUAUCGUAUACUUGCAAGUUAAGAGAGGAGAUCUUGAAUGCCCUCACCAACACAGUGUCCAUCCUCCCGCCAAAGGAAACAAAUGAUGACUUUAUCUUGACACCUCCCACACUGAUCACCUUGAGAAAACUGAGGAACAACCCACAUGGGGAUUCAGGCCUGUGGGAAGAGUCGGAUGAACUGGGGGUUUUCCAGUGUGGUUCAAACAGCUUUGGAAGAUGGUCAUUCGUGCUUCAUUCAUCAAACUCCUUCCGAGGACCUGCAUGUACCAGAUACAAUCAUGAACAAAGAAGACCUAUUGGAGGUGAUGCUGCUGCAGAGACAGAAGUGACCGUGCAUACAUACAGAGAGGAAGGGAUGGAUCUGAGAUCUAUUAAAGAUUGAGGAAGUCAAGACUUGGUGACCUAUCAAACAUGGCAGUGAGGAGGAGAGAGGGGUCAGAAAUGCGCCCAGAGGUUUUAGGAGGAGCAUUCAAAGUGAGGAGAGUGGAGAAGAAACUCCCUGGGAUGCUUUGGAGAUGGCUGGAGGAGACGGAGACAGAGAACAAACUCCACAUGGGAGGUAUACCAGGCAUACCAAAUGGGAGGGAUAUCACAGCCUCAUGGAGAGAAGAAAUCGUAUAAGAAGGAGAAACAAACCAGUGCAUCCAUGGUUUUGGCAAAUAAGGAGGUUACUGACGACCUUUGUCCAGAGUAAUUUCAUUAUAUUGGUGUGAACCCCAGCCAAAGUAUAGUGGAUUGAGAUGUGAUAGAAAUGUGAUCAAUUAUCUUUUAUUUACCAAGGCAGAUAUAAAUUAGCACUUUGUGGGAGAUCAUGGCGACUGAUGGCAGAAGGUCCAUAAGUGGGCACUCUGGUGUCUUGGCAGUGCAAUUUGGUAAACUCUGUUUGGAAAGCAAUUUGACAGUAAAUGCCAAUAACCUUCAAAUAUUCAUAUUUUGGAGUACUCUAUUUCUAAGACUCUACCCUUAGAAGGUAUUCAUAAAUACUGGAAAAUUUUAUGCCUGAUAAUAUUUAUCGUCAGGCCACUUAUAACUGCGAAAAGGUGGGAACCACCUAAACUUCUGCCAAGAGAGAAGAGUUUAAGUAAACUAUGGUAUGUUCGUUUGCUGAAAUCCUGACUAGUUAUCACAAAUGACGUUUGUGAGUCCUAUAACAUAGAAAGAUGUUUAUGCUAUAAUGUUAAAUUACAAAGCUGGAUAGACCAUUGAAACUACAGGGUAAUUAUAUGGUGUUUAUAAAGCAUCCCUAUGGCAGAGGCAGGGGGGUCACAUGAAUACAAUACAGAAAAAUGUGACUAGUGCCAGUGUCAGAGAUACAGGACUAUAUAUAGGAGAUCCCUAUUUUUAUUCUUUCAGUUUUCAGUAUGUCCCGAAUUCUCUUUAGUGAACAUGUAACAUUUUCUAAAAAUUUAAAUAAGCAUUUUUUAUUUUUUUUUUAAGAUUUUUUAUUUAUUUGAGAGAGAGAGAAUGAGAGAGAAAGAACACAUGAGAGGGGAUAGGGUCAGAGGGCGAAGCAGACUCCCUGCCAAGCAGGGAGCCUGAUGCGGGACUCGAUCCAGGGACUCGAUCCAGGGACUCGAUCCAGGGACUCGAUCCAGGGACUCGAUCCAGGGACUCCAGGAUCAUGACCUGAGCCGAAGG